rnacentral:rRNA from 1 species
UACACUCCUACGGGAGGCAGCAGUGGGGAAUCUUGCGCAAUGGGCGAAAGCCUGACGCAGCCAUGCCGCGUGAAUGAUGAAGGUCUUAGGAUUGUAAAAUUCUUUCACCGGGGACGAUAAUGACGGUACCCGGAGAAGAAGCCCCGGCUAACUUCGUGCCAGCAGCCGCGGUAAUACGAAGGGGGCUAGCGUUGCUCGGAAUUACUGGGCGUAAAGGGAGCGUAGGCGGACAUUUAAGUCAGGGGUGAAAUCCCGGGGCUCAACCUCGGAAUUGCCUUUGAUACUGGGUGUCUUGAGUAUGAGAGAGGUGUGUGGAACUCCGAGUGUAGAGGUGAAAUUCGUAGAUAUUCGGAAGAACACCAGUGGCGAAGGCGACACACUGGCUCAUUACUGACGCUGAGGCUCGAAAGCGUGGGGAGCAAACAGGAUUAGAAACCCCUGUAGUCCCAUGA